CGGCAGCCGCGGCUCGGCAGCGCGGGAGGGAGCGCCGCCGGCCCGGGGCCCGCUAAGGACUCGGAGCGGACCUCACACUACUUCCAGUCUAGUUCCAGCUCCCGCCACCGGCUCCCACUAGACCAGUUGGUACCCAUUACUCAUGGUCCUGUCGCUACUGCAGCUCCUGACAGUCCCUGUCUGGCUUCCUUCAGAUACUGGAAGGUCGCCAUGAGGUCUUCACACAAACUUCUCCACGCCUGAAGAGCCCCAGCUUUCUCAGCCUGUUGUCAUAGGGCAUUUCAAGACCACCAACAGCAUAGCAACAGACCUUCAGAUCUUGAUGAACGAAGCUUGAGCCCAGACUCAACUUACACCUUUGUUAGGACAUGAGUCUAUAACAACCAACUUACAUCAUGUUGAAGGUAGGUAUUUAAAGGAGGUUUAUUUGGGCUAAUGCUAAAUUCAAACAGCCACAAGCUCAUUUUCCAUGUUUACCACACCAACUGCUGACAGAUGAAGUCUCAGUGGAAAGUCCAAAUUUUAAUUUCACCGUAACUUCCUGAAACAUGACUACAGAUUUCAAUAUUUGGCAUUUGAUCCUCGAGAGAGAUACCAUGUUUAAGAACAUUCUACCAAAUACAUUUAAAUUAUACUCCAAAACAAUUCGGAAGUUUUGAAACAUAAAACUGUUAGUAUGAAAUUAGUUUUUAUUUUUUUACCUCAAAAUAAAUGCACAUUUAUCAUUUAGUCAAGUGAAAACUGAGAAGGAGUAUCUUAAACAAGGGGGAACCUUAACAGAGCAAGUACCACAAACAUGCUCAAGUUCCUUCUCCUGCUCUUGCCCAGCUCUGUUUGGCUAAGAACACCAGAAUAAUUUCAAUUUUUCUUUCUUGUCAGUUUGGUCAAUUAAAAUAAACACUUAAAGCACCAGAAUCAGAAGUGGUAUAAAACAAAACCAGGUACUUCUUCUCAUCAGAAUUCAGGCCCAUGUGUUGCCACACUUUUUAUAUAAAACUUUCACUAAGUGUUGUACUAAAUAGGAUUUAGUAAUUUCUUCUGCAGUUUAGCUCUUGAUAUCUUGGUAAGAGAAGUCAAUGCAUAAGCAUGUCAGAAGUCAACGCUAUAGUGUAACUACAGUAUAACUCUAACAGGGCUUCUAAAUACUGUUCACCAGAGUGAUGUCUUAUAGUUGAAUUUCAGUUUCAACAGGUACUUCAGAUUUACCUGAGCAACAUCGUACACAAUAUAUCUGGGAAGAAUGUUAAGGAAUAAUUACAGCAGUUGAUAUUAAUGACACAGAAAAACUUCAAAACACAGUGAACUUUGAAUUUAAGUUAUCAUACAGAUGCCUGGGUGAUUAACCAAUUCUAAGAGCUCAAAUAAAACUUUAAAUCUGA